rnacentral:lncRNA from 1 species
GGCUUUCAUAUAUUAUUAUUACUAGAGGCUUUUUUUGCUUUAGAAUAUAUGCAGCUGUAGCUUUUAUUGUAUUAGAUUUAUAUCAAUAACUUUCAAAGAACUAAAUAUAAAGUUUUAGAAAAAUUGAAUUCCAAACCUAAUAUUUUUCUAUUUUAACUUUAGUGCUCUAGCUGCUUUAAAUUAUUUUCUUUAAGCAAGAUUGUUAAAUUAAAGUAAAGAAAAGAAGCUCUGGAAAGCACUGAGAGUACUUAUCAAUCACCCCCUAUAUUUUGGAUUACAACUGUUUAUGACAUUUCCUCUUUAGUUUGUUUUGGUUCAACUUUAUUCAAUACUAGUGGUUUGUCCGCGCUACGCUCGGGGCAGCUGUCCUUUGUUGUAAUUUGGAUUUUUUUGAUGUAGCAUAUUUUGAUUGGUGGAUGGUCUUUUGAAAGUUUUAGUUAUAUGUUAGAUGAUGAAGCAAUAUCUGGAUCCAUGGUGUUGCUAAUGGUUUUAUGGUUUAAGUAGUGUAGGUAGAUAGUAAGAAAGCAUAUAGUUUGUUUCCAUUGUUGUAAUUUUCGAAGCAUAUAGUGCAUAUAUCAUUGUCUUCUUCUGUAGUUGGAGACCUAUUUGUUUCCUUUAGAUUUGUGAUGAUAAGAAAGUCUUGCAGUCGCGUUUUGGUUGUAGUCCCAGAUGGUAAGAGUAACUUGGAGAUCAUCAGUUAUGGUAUUGCAGCCGUUUGGUAGCUUAUUCAUCACAUAUUCAGUAGUCUCUUGAAUAAGUAAGGUUGAGUCGGGGUUAUGAAUGUGAUGGUAUGUUAGCACGAAUUCCAUGUACUCAGUUGUUGAGUCUUUUAAAUUAUCUUGAUUGUCAAUGAUAGACGGUAGCUGAAAAUCAAUGAUAAAUUAUUGUGUGUUGGGCCGGUGGAUGUAGGAGCGUUAACAUUUUGAGUCAAUGGUUUGUGAUAAGUUUGUUGUUUUAUUUACGUUGAGUUGUUACUUAUUUCGAAAACCAUGUAUAAUGAUGUGUAGUGUGUAUUUGUAUGAGAGCUGGAUAAUGUUUGUUAUUUUUUGUAUUUGCAUUAUUCUCAUAAUGAGGUUUUUCUUAGUAUAAUAGAUGUUCGCUUGGAAAUAUAUUUGUUUGUUUUUGCAGACGAAGUGCCCGCUUUAGUUAUACCGAGAACACACACACUUUAUGUUAGUGUAGUUUUUAUAUACAUAGGUUCUAUUUUAGUUUUUGUGAGAUAGAAUGAGGAGAAUUUUGUUAAAAUUUGAUAA